AACAGGAUUAGAUACCCUGGUAGUUCCCCCCGUAAAAGAUGAGUGGCUAAGUGUUAGAGGGUUUUCCGCCCUUUUAGUUGCUGCAGCUAACGCAUUAAGCAYUCCGCCCUGGGGAGUACGGUCGCAAGACUGAAACUCAAAGGAAUUGACGGGGGGCCCGCACAAGCGGUGGAGCAUGUGGUUUAAUUUGAAGCAACGCGAAGAACCUUACCAGGUCUUGACAUCCUCUGACAACCCUAGAGAUAGGGCUUUCCCCUUCGGGGGACAGAGUGACAGGUGGUGCAUGGUUGUUGUCAGCUCGUGUCGUGAGAUGUUGGGUUAAGUCCCGCAACGAGCGCAACCCUUGAUCUUAGUUGCCAGCAUUCAGUUGGGCACUCUAAGAUGACUGCCGGUGACAAACCGGAGGAAGGUGGGGAUGACGUCAAAUCAUCAUGCCCCUUAUGACCUGGGCUACACACGUGCUACAAUGGACGGUACAAAGGGCUGCAAGACCGCGAGGUUUAGCCAAUGCCAUAAAACCGUUCUCAGUUCGGAUUGUAGGCUGCAACUCGCCUACAUGAAGCUGGAAUCGCUAGUAAUCGCGGAU
rnacentral:rRNA from 1 species